CGGACUUGCCUGGGAAGGGGAGAGCGAGAGCCCGCCGGACUGGGCUGCGGGCCCGCGGAGCUGGGCACCUCUGCGACCUGCAGCGACACAGGAGCCCGGCCGCCCAACCCGCGCAGCCCGAGCCCGCACCCGCCAGCCGGCCCCUCUGGGAUGUCCGGGGAACCCAGGCAUCCAGGACGGCGGUAGAGCGAGCCCGAGGAUGGGACGGCGCCCGCAGCUCCGGCUCGUCAAGGUAAGAGCGAGCUGGUCAGCCUUCGAGCGCAAGCAGCUCUGGGGGCGCGGGGCUCGGUGGGUUGUGGGUGUGAUGCGAGGGCUUGGGUGUCACUGAGAAGAACUGUGUCCAGGGGCGGCCGGCGUUUGAGGGGCAGCCCAACUCCCUCUUCCAGGACCUUUGGAGGGGGCGUUGGGCGGUGGGAGGAGAACUCAGGUGCAAAAAGAAAUUGUUGUGGCGAAGCUGACGGGCCGUAGGCGUUGCGGGGGGCGGGGGGGACGCCCACCCGGGUAACCAGCUCUGUGCCGGGAAUCGCUCUAGGCGUUGGGAACCGACCCACCCUUCCUGUGUAGACCAGGGUUCCGGGACGAGAGGCUCUGGAGAGGGGUUUCCCACCCGCCCCAGCACCCUCUCUUCAACUCCCCCACUCUGCACGCCCCCCCGCCCUGUCCCUGGGAGCUCUUUCCUGCCCCUGCAAGUCCGGGGAGAUAAAUGCCCCCCGCGCCGGAGAGCCCUGGAUCGCAAUCUCCGGGGAGCAGACCGUGCAUCCGGCGGUAGUUACCGUUCCGCCGCCGCCGCCGCCGGCCCGCCCGCCGGAGCACCACGCUCGCUCUUCCAGCCUUUGCACGCGCGGGUCCCCGCGCCUGCUCCUUCCUGCCCGAGCUCUGGCGACGCGAUUCCGGCGCCCGGAGUUUAGGAAAGUCGCCAGACCGCACGUCCAGCGUCUGUCCGCUGAAGUUCGGGGGCGGCCGGGGCUGCCCGCGGGCCCAGGGAAAGGCUAGGGGGUCGACAGCUCGGCCCGCCGCUAGUGCCAGCCGCUACUUCCCCAUGACAAGCGAUCCCAAAGCGGUUCCGCUUACGAGGUGUAGGCUCGAAGCAGCAGCCAGAGCGAGGGGUAGGUGGGCCUCGGCGCUGCCGCGGGGGAGUCCAGCGCGGCCCUAGCCUGAGGAUCCGGACCCCGCUGGGUCAGUGUGGACGGCCUGUGGAAAAACAGACACCAGCUUGACUGGAUUCAGUGCAUUUAAGAAUUGAAUGGAUUUGGUAGAGGGGCGCGGAUUGACUGAAUUUCAUUUUUUCCUAUCAGUUAUUAAACGUAUAUCAGCAUACAAAGUGGUUUGAGGUAAACCAUCAAGAUUUUAAAAUGCAACUGCUGCCAGGUCAUCAGUUGACACGUUACCAGUUACUAAGGCUUUCUCCAUCCUCUUCCUCCCUCUCUAGAAUAUUUAUAAGUUGAUUUUUUAAAAUGCCUGGGGAUUGGUCUAAUUGAACCCAUAUCCUGGCCCUACCCAUUAACUGAGGACUGGGGAUGAACCCAGAGAUUAUUUUCUGGGUGAUCAAGGAGACCAAGGAAGGGAGGGAGGAAUAAAAACAUCUAGAGAGGUUGAAUAGAUGGCACUGAAUGGUAAAAUUUUCCAAAAGGCUAGUGUGUACUGAAACUUGGCCUAAAUCUGCAAAUCAAUUAGACCCAAUUCAACCUUUUAAAAUAAUUCAAAAGAUUGAACUUUUUUGUUUUUGAGUUUACAUGGUAAUUGGUAAAUGUUCUUUCUCUGACCUUUCUUCGAAUCACAUGCAAAUCUCUGCUUAAAAUUAUGAUGCUUUACUAAAAAUUUUUUUUUUCUGUUAUUGUAUGUGUUUUCCCUACUAAGUGGUAAGGUGUGUUUCUUUAAGUCUCGCCUAAUGAAUUCAGUAGGUGCUCAAUAAAUACAUACCAUGGUGAAUGAGAGGCAGCUAAUGCUGAUUUCAAUGAAAUAAUUACCUUUUUCCUUUUAUUUUUGUAGCAUAUAUAACUUUCUCAGCAUUGUUCUACCUGCUUUGCAAAUAUUAAGUCAUUUAGUCCUCAUAAGAACCCUGGGAAGUAGGAAUUAUUAUUGAGGCACAGAGAGGCUAAGUACCUGGUUCAAGGUCAUACAGCCAGUGAGUGGUGGAGCCAGAAUUCAAACCCAGGCACUGUGGCUCUAAGGCUUUUUUUGUUAGCUUUUACCAUAAAAUAUUCUAAGCUGCUUAAAUCUCAUCCUAGACUUGUACCAGAUGAGAGAAAGCAUGGGUGGUUUCGUCAGAAUGCAAGUCUGAAUCUAGGUGGGAUUCAUCCAAAAUCUGACUCUGUCCUCCACAAGUAUGGGGAAAAGAUCCACUCUGGGGCCCUUAGUGUAGGCCUCUCACUGUACUGGUUACAGAGAAUUGGGGAAGAGUGUGUGGGUGACUGGGAGAUUUGUGUGUGUGUGUGUGUGAAUGAGGGAGAGAUGGUAUGCGUGUGUGUGUGCCUGUCUGUGUGGACACCGAGGAUACUGGUGAAAUGCUGUCUGGGUCACCUGCCCACCAGCCACAGCUCCUCACAGGGAGACACAAGUGUGGCUCACAAUGGCAGGUUUGGGUGAGUGUGAGGUGUGGAGGCAGGGGGCUAUGAAUGGAGAGUGAGUUCUGCAGAGAGAGCUGGUUUUAUUGUUAUUGUCAUGAAAGCAAUCUAGUAGUAUUAGACAAAGUUUGAAAACCAGAGGGGGAAAUUAUUACAAUCUUACCCUCCUAAAACAGCUAUUGUUAUCAUUUUGAAAAUAAUCCCUGCAGGCCUUUUUUCAAGUGCAGGUGUGGACAUUGGGAAUGCCUUCUUACUUACUGUCACAUUGGGAAUGCCUUCUCACUUACUGUCACAGACCAAGUCUGUCCUAUGUUAUUCUUGAGCCUCCAGAGGGAGAUUGUCAACAACUCUGUUCCCUGUGAGGGGAUAUUCUUUGCCAUGCCUAUAUCCAUGCACGUUUGGGCCAUUCCAAAUUACUUCUUUGACAAAUAAUACAGAGCCAGGAGUUCCCAUUGUGGCUCAAUAGGUUAAGAACCCUGCUACUAUCCAUAAGCAUUCGUGUUUGAUCCCUGGUCUCACUCAGUGGGUUAAAGAUCCGGCGUUACUGCAAGCUGAUCAGAUGUCACAGAUGUGGCUUGGAUCUGGCAUUGGAUCUGGCUGUGGCAUAAGCUGGCAACUGCAGCUCUGAAAAAAAAUAAAAUAAAAAAUAAAAAUAAUAACAUGGAGCACAGUUUUUGAAGGGAGCAUUGGCAGGAGAGAAAACGAAGGCAAAAAAGAGAUGUAUAUGGCGUGUGGACAACUGGCAUGGCCACUGCCCAGGGACAAAGUAAGAGAGGGCUGACAGCCAGGCCAAGCCCUUAGGAUUUGAUAUGUCCAGCCCUGGGGAGGGGCAGGACUUAGGUCCAGACUUAGGUCCAUCUGGUUCUUAAGGAGGGCAUAGAUUUGGCGAAAAGCAAAACACUGACCCGGAGCCGGUGAGGGCAAGCUCAGGUGGAAAAUCCAUUUCUCACCCUCUCUAACAUUUGGCUACUCGAGGACAUUAGCAUCCAGUGGGGUUCAGCUAUGCAGAACGAGUAUGGAGGGUCAAAGAUGCCCCUUGGCAGCACCUCAAGUGUUCAAGAUGCAAACAAGCCCAUGGGCCUGGGCCCCGGCCAUGAUGUGACCUAGAAGGAAGGGGUUAGGCACAGGGCUGCUCAUUUUAGCAGCUACUGGGGUGAAAAGACCAUCAGCCUAGGAGCUGCUAAAAUGAUGUCAGUCACAGCAAUACCUCUCAUUAGCUGUGUGGCUUCAAGUAGGUCACCUUCCCUCUCUGAGCUACAGUUUCUCUGUAAAGAGAGCUAUUUGACUAGAUUCCCUGUUAGCUUUCAUGUCUCUUGUGGAAGAUCAGUUUCCAGAAACACUCCUUAGGGCCAUAACCUCACAUGAGAAGAGUAGGGUGCGACAGAUUCAGUUUCUCUGCCCCUUCCCAGCUGCAGAACCUCAAUACUUGGACCCAAGUCCCCUCUCUGAGCUUGAGUGUUCCCAGCUAUGAAAUGGAGGCGACACCUCAGGUUAAAAAGAAGUUAAUAUGUGCAAAGUGCCUGGAACAGCAUCAGGUGCAGAGUUUGCUUUCAAAAAAAGUUGCAAGGUGACUGCUCUUCAGAGAAAAUGAGAUAAUGCUUGAAAAAACAACUAGGAAAAGCUCUUGGACUUUCAACAUACAGCAUUUUUGCCUUUUUCACCCUUCACAGCACUGGGACUAAUAAUCCAUUGCUCGUGGUAAGCAUUUACAAAUGUUUGUUGGCUGGCUGGUUGGUGUUAUUGUUGCUUCCUUUGGUUUACUAGUGUAUGGUCUGAGCAGACCCAUUGCUCUUCCCGUUGAAAUGCAGAUGUCAUGUCAAAACAGACUGAGAUGCCAAAAGCACCCGAGCAGAAAAGCCAGCUCUCACACAGAAGAGACUGGAACUUCCCCUUAAGCCCACUAUGGUUAUCUGAAAAGGGAAAAGAAAGCAACAAACAGCCAAUGAAGCGCCUCAAUGAUUUGGAGACCCCUUUAAGGGUGGAGCCUUGGCUGGUCUGAAGGAGAGCAGGUUGGUAGCAGGUGACCUGGGACCUUUCUUGUUUCCUCCUCUGUGAAAAGAGAGGGUGGGGUCAUCUCUCCCAGCUCCAACUCUACCUAACCAUUCAUGGCAUCACCAGAAGGAAGAGCGAGCCCUUUCUGGAGCUAAGGCCAAGUAUUAGCUUACAGUUUUAUAUGCAACGAAUGCAUUUGUUAAUUACAAAUGACUCCUGUCUACAUAGAUCCUCGGGGCUCCUGUCGGCAGAAUCCCUUGGAAGUAAUAUCGUCCAGUCCUUUUUAAAUGCUGAUCUUCCAACUUGUCCCUCUUGGCCAGCCAGCCUUCACUCCACCCAAGGUGGCAGUCAGCAUCUUCUUGUAUUGACGGGAACAUCAGGUGAAGUCGAUGUGGGCUUGAAUCCUGACUCUGCUGUAGAGCUAUGUUAUCAAUCUGAACUUCAGUUUCUUCCUCUGUAAAAAAACCAAACCAAACCAAAACAAAAAACCAAGGGAGUUACUGUUGCAGCUCAGCAGGUUAAGAACCUGACAUAAUAAUACCUGUGAGGAUGUGGGUUUGAUCCUUGGCCUCACUCAGUGGGUUAAAGAUUCUGCAUUGCCGUGAGAUGUGGUGUAGGUCAAAGAAUCAGCUCGGAUCUGGUGUUUCUGUAACUGUGUUUGUGGCUGGCAGCUGCAGCUCCGAUUGGACCCCUAGCCUGGGAACUUCCAUAUGCUGCAGGUGCGGCCACGAAAAGAAAAGGAAAGAAAGAAGGAAAGAAGGAAGGAAAGAAGGAAAG
rnacentral:lncRNA from 1 species